rnacentral:rRNA from 1 species
ACACACCGCCCGUCACACCAUGGAAGUCUGCAAUGCCCGAAGCCGGUGGCCUAACCACUUAUGUGGAAGGAGCCGUCUAAGGCAGGGCAGAUGACUGGGGUGAAGUCGUAACAAGGUACC